rnacentral:rRNA from 1 species
CCUACGGGAGGCAGCAGUGGGGAAUAUUGCACAAUGGGGGAAACCCUGAUGCAGCAACGCCGCGUGAGCGAUGAAGGCCUCCGGGUCGUAAAGCUCUGUCCUAAGGGAAGAAUACUGACGGUACCUUAGGAGGAAGCCCCGGCUAACUACGUGCCAGCAGCCGCGGUAAUACGUAGGGGGCUAGCGUUAUCCGGAAUUACUGGGCGUAAAGAGUGCGUAGGCGGCCAUUCAAGUCAGAGGUGAAAGGCUACGGCUCAACCAUAGUAAGCCUUUGAGACUGUAGGGAUUGAGUGCAGGAGAGAAGAAAGGAAUUCCCAGUGUAGGGGUGAAAUGCGUAGAAAGUGGGAGGAACAACAGUGGCGAAGGCGGCUCUCUGGACUGUAAAUGAAGCUGCGGCACGAAAGUGUGGGGAGCGAACAGGAUUAGAUACCCUGGUAGUC